CAUCACUACGCUAGAUGUAUAUCAAUAAGCGGAGGAAAAGAAACUAACAAGGAUUCUCUUAGUAACGGCGAGUGAAGCGGGAAGAGCUCAAAUUUGAAAUCUUCAAGGUUCUACCUUGACGAAUUGUAGUUUAUAGAAGUGUUUUCUGUUAGGUGUAUUGCUAAAAGUUCUUUGGAAUAGGACAUCAUAGAGGGUGAGAAUCCCGUAUUUGUACCAUUCCUCCUAGCGUUGUGAUACACUUUCAACGAGUCGGAUUGUUUGGGAAUGCAGUCCAAAAUGGGUGGUAAAUUUCAUCUAAAGCUAAAUAUUGGCGAGAGACCGAUAGCGAACAAGUACCGUGAGGGAAAGAUGAAAAGAACUUUGAAAAGAGAGUUAAACAGUACGUGAAAUUGUCAAAAGGGAAGCGUUUGACACCAGUGUUGUUUUUCUCGAAAAUCAAUUACGAAUGUUUUGUUUUUGAGGAGUUAUGACUUCAUCGGCUUGCUCCUUUCUUUACGAAACUUUCUUAAUGCACUUUUCGGUUAACAAGUCAACAUCAAUUUCUUUUGUUGUAAAAGGGUAUGAGGAAGGUGGCUUUCUUUUCGGAGAAAGUGUUUAUAGCCUUGUGCCUCUGCAAUCGGAGAGAUUGAGGUCUGCAGCGUAGAUCCUUCGGGGUUAGAUACGUUUGUGCUAAGUUAUAGCUUUUCAUAGACAACUUGUUGACUAUGUUUAGUCUUGUAGCUUACUCGCUGACGCUAUUUUACCUACGCUUAGGAUGUUGACACACGCGCGUGCUCG
rnacentral:rRNA from 1 species